rnacentral:rRNA from 1 species
AUGUCACACCCACAAGGGACCCCAGCARUAACCAACAUUGAAAAUWWGCGCCAGCUUGAUUCAGUUAAAGUAAAGAGGGCCGGCAAAUUUGGUGCCAGCCGCCGCGGUUACACCACAUGGCUCAAAUUGACUAUACCACGGCGUAAAGGGUGAUUUAAGCUACCAACUCACUGUAGUUGAACACUAAAUUAGCUGUUAAAUGCUUUUUACCUGGGAAACCCAAAAACGAAAGUUACUACACACAAACAACUUGAAUUCACAAUAGUUAGGGCACAAACUAGGAUUAGAUACCCUACUAUGCCUAACCAUAAACUUUUAACCCACACGGAUAUCGCCAGGGAACUACGAGCAAAGCUUAAAACCCAAUGGACUUGACGGUGCCCCAAACCCCCCUAGAGGAGCCUGUCCUUUAAAUCGACAACCCCCGCUUAACCUCACCAUUUUUAGCCGUCAGUCUGUAUACCUCCGUCGUCAGCUUACCGCAUGAGCGAAAUAUAGUGAGCCUAAUGUUAUAACCCCAAUACGUCAGGUCAAGGDGCAGCUAAUGAAAUGGGAAGAGAUGGGCUACACUCUCUAGCAUAGAGCAUACGAAAAACUAA